rnacentral:misc_RNA from 1 species
CGCCUUACAGAAGACCGCAGCCAAAUAGCACUAAACCCUACUCAUAGUGUUGUGUUCCUGCCGAUGUAGAACCUGGGUUAAAAUUGUUGGUAAAGAAGACCUACUGCACAUACCAAUAGAAAAACUUCGCCAAGUACGUUUUGUGUGUGGUGAUCACUUCAAAGCAAAAGAUUUCAACAAAAAAGGCAAUCGCUUGAAGAAAAGGGCCUACCCUAAGCUGGAGCUUUCUGCACAACCAUUGACUGAGCAUCAAUUAAAAGACUUCCCUCAACAUGUCGCAAGCAAAGCUCCCACAACCAUGGAUGACAGUACUAAAACUCCUGCAAUUGCCUCAUCAUCCAAACUGCAGAACCCAGAGGCAACAACCCAAAUUACAAUGAGUAAGUUGAGUUAAUUAUAAAAAAAAAACCGGCAAAGUGCGAGUCGGACUCGCACACCGAGGGUACAAAUUUUAAAUAG